GGUUUAAUUCGAUGAUACGCGGAGGAACCUUACCUGGGCUCCGGAACGUAAGAUGACUGUAGGUGAAAGCUUACAUCUCUUCGGAGCAUUUACGAGUGCUGCAUGGUUGUCGUCAGCUCGUGCCGUGAGGUGUCGGGUUAAGUCCCAUAACGAGCGCAACCCCUACCUUUAGUUGCCAUCAGGUAAUGCUGGGGACUCUAAGGGAACUGCCUACGCAAGUAGUGAGGAAGGCGGGGAUGACGUCAAAUCAGCACGGCCCUUACGUCCAGGGCUACACACGUGCUACAAUGGCCGAUACAGAGGGCAGCUACCUGGUGACAGGAUGCAAAUCUCCAAAGUCGGUCUCAGUUCGGAUCGGAGUCUGCAACCCGACUCCGUGAAGUUGGAUUCGCUAGUAAUCGCGCAUCAGCCAUGGCGCGGUGAAUACGUUCCCGGGCCUU
rnacentral:rRNA from 1 species